UACGGGGGGGGCAAGCGUUGUUCGGAAUUACUGGGCGUAAAGGGCUCGUAGGUGGUCAACUAAGUCGGACGUGAAAUCCCUCGGCUUAACCGGGGAACUGCGUCCGAUACUGGAUGACUUGAGUUCGGGAGAGGGAUGCGGAAUUCCAGGUGUAGCGGUGAAAUGCGUAGAUAUCUGGAGGAACACCGGUGGCGAAGGCGGCAUCCUGGACCAUUACUGACGCUGAGGCGCGAAAGCUAGGGGAGCAAACGGG
rnacentral:rRNA from 1 species